CCCUGGUCUCUCAGAUUCUUUUCUUCCCCCCUAUCCAUCCCCAGGGCGCCGGCCCUCUGGCCAUGCCCACCCCUCCCCACCGCCCCACUCGCAGCAGCACGGAGCAAUGGCGAGGCGGCAGACAAGGGCGCCUUUCUUCAAAGUGGUUCGCCUUCAUCUCAUAAAUUCUCAGGCCCGGCCUGAUUGGCUGCGGCCAAAGGCAGCCAGGCCCCCGCCGGCUCCUCAGAUACAAAGUUCACUCACCGCUGACUCCCGGCGCUCUGAGCCCAGGAGGCUGACCUGGGUGGACAGCAUCCGUGGCCCCUGGUUGGGAUCGUCCAAGAAGAGAGGGGAUCAGAGGAAGGAAGGCAAUGACAGGCCCAUUAAUCCCCCAGGCUCCUCCUUGCUGUGUUGGCAUGGGCUGGCUGUGCCGCCUCCAGAAGCCACAGCUCCUGUGGGGUAGCUUCUGAUGCAAUCAAUAUAUCCCGCGUAGCUUUCUCCAGUCCUUGAUGAGCCCCACAAAGGAUUGGGCAAGCAAAGGCUCUACAGCAGCGGUUCUCAACCAGAAGUCCUCAAGCCCAGAGACUGUAUCUGUAUUUUGUCCCCUGUAUCUCCAUUGCCUGGCGUGCAGCGGUCUUUGAUGUGGAGACGAACUCCGUGCACAGUGGGGAGGAUACAGAAGAACUCAGCCCAAUUACCUAAUUGUAACACUUUCAUUUCCUCCCCCACCUCCCCGGUUCAGUUUCAUUUUUUCCCAACUCCCUUCUGUUGUUCUCAGGUGGAGCCCGCGCAGGCUCACCUCCGCAGGCAGGCUGGUCGUCACCGGGUCCCCAUCCAAAGCCACCCCGAGCCCCCCGAGGCAUUCCCCCCCAAUUCACGGUGAAACAGAAAAACCAAGUCCAA